UACGUAGGGGGCUAGCGUUGUCCGGAAUCAUUGGGCGUAAAGCGCGUGUAGGCGGCCCGGUAAGUCCGCUGUGAAAGUCGAGGGCUCAACCCUCGAAUGCCGGUGGAUACUGUCGGGCUAGAGUGCGGAAGAGGCGAGUGGAAUUCCUGGUGUAGCGGUGAAAUGCGCAGAUAUCAGGAGGAACACCUAUUGCGAAGGCAGCUCGCUGGGACGUAACUGACGCUGAGACGCGAAAGCGUGGGGAGCAAACAGG
rnacentral:rRNA from 1 species